rnacentral:rRNA from 1 species
CAAUAGCGUAUAUUAAAGUUGUUGCGGUUAAAAGCUCGUAGUUGGAUUUCUGCCGAGGAAGACCGGUCCGCCCUCUGGGUGAGUAUCUGGCUCUGCCUGGGCAUCUUCUUGGAGAACGUAGCUGCACUUGACUGUGUGGUGCGGUAUCCAGGACUUUUACUUUGAGGAAAUUAGAGUGUUUCAAGCAGGCAUACGCCUUGAAUACAUUAGCAUGGAAUAAUAAGAUAGGACCUCGGUUCUAUUUUGUUGGUUUGUUGAACUAGAGUAAUCACAAUAAGGAUAGUUGGGGGUAUUCGUAUUUAACUGUCAGAGGUGAAAUUCUUGGAUUUUUUAAAGACGAACAAUUGCGAAGGCAUCUACCCAGGAUGUUUUUGUUGAUCAAGAACGAAAGUUAGGGGAUCGAAGACGAUCAGAUACCGU